ensembl:snoRNA Gm25264 predicted gene, 25264
CUUGCCCCUGGAAGCAUUGCAGGUAUGGCUGCUGUGUCACAUGUAUGUCAGUAGGUAGCAGAGAAGACAGACACUACAUCUACAUUUAGUGUUCUCACCAAUUUUGUGUCUGCCAUC